rnacentral:rRNA from 1 species
AGAGUUUGAUCCUGGCUCAGAUUGAACGCUGGCGGCAUGCCUUACACAUGCAAGUCGAACGGCAGCACGGGAGCAAUCCUGGUGGCGAGUGGCGAACGGGUGAGUAAUACAUCGGAACGUGCCCAAUCGUGGGGGAUAACGCAGCGAAAGCUGUGCUAAUACCGCAUACGAUCUACGGAUGAAAGCAGGGGACCGCAAGGCCUUGCGCGAAUGGAGCGGCCGAUGGCAGAUUAGGUAGUUGGUGGGGUAAAGGCUCACCAAGCCUUCGAUCUGUAGCUGGUCUGAGAGGACGACCAGCCACACUGGGACUGAGACACGGCCCAGACUCCUACGGGAGGCAGCAGUGGGGAAUUUUGGACAAUGGGCGCAAGCCUGAUCCAGCCAUGCCGCGUGCAGGAUGAAGGCCUUCGGGUUGUAAACUGCUUUUGUACGGAACGAAACGGCUCUUUCUAAUAAAGAGGGCUAAUGACGGUACCGUAAGAAUAAGCACCUGCUAACUACGUGCCAGCAGCCGCGGUAAUACGUAGGGUGCAAGCGUUAAUCGGAAUUACUGGGCGUAAAGCGUGCGCAGGCGGUGAUGUAAGACAGUUGUGAAAUCCCCGGGCUCAACCUGGGAACUGCAUCUGUGACUGCAUCGCUGGAGUGCGGCAGAGGGGGAUGGAAUUCCGCGUAGCAGUGAAAUGCGUAGAUAUGCGGAGGAACACCGAUGGCGAAGGCAAUCCCCUGGGCCUGCACUGACGCUCAUGCACGAAAGCGUGGGGAGCAAACAGGAUUAGAUACCCUAGUAGUCC